AACGAACGCUGGCGGCAGGCCUAACACAUGCAAGUCGAGCGGACCCUUCGGGGUUAGCGGCGGACGGGUGAGUAACGCGUGGGAAUAUGCCCUUCUCUACGGAAUAGUCCUGGGAAACUGGGGGUAAUACCGUAUACGCCCUUUGGGGGAAAGAUUUAUCGGGGAAGGAUUAGCCCGCGUUGGAUUAGGUAGUUGGUGGGGUAAUGGCCUACCAAGCCGACGAUCCAUAGCUGGUUUGAGAGGAUGAUCAGCCACACUGGGACUGAGACACGGCCCAGACUCCUACGGGGGGCAGUAGUGGGGAAUCUUAGACAAUGGGGGCAACCCUGAUCUAGCCAUGCCGCGUGAGUGAUGAAGGCCUUAGGGUUGUAAAGCUCUUUCAGCUGGGAAGAUAAUGACGGUACCAGCAGAAGAAGCCCCGGCUAACUCCGUG
rnacentral:rRNA from 1 species